GAUGAACGCUAGCGGUGUGCCUAAUACAUGCAAGUCGAGCGAACAGACGAGGAGCUUACUCCUCUGACGUUAGCGGCGGACGGGUGAGUAACACGUGGAUAACCUACCUAUAAGACUGGGAUAACUUCGGGAAACCGGAGCUAAUACCGGAUAACAUGUUGAACCGCAUGGUUCAACAGUGAAAGACGGUCUUGCUGUCACUUAUAGAUGGAUCCGCGUCGCAUUAGCUAGUUGGUAAGGUAACGGCUUACCAAGGCAACGAUGCGUAGCCGACCUGAGAGGGUGAUCGGCCACACUGGAACUGAGACACGGUUCAGACUCCUACGGGAGGCAGCAGUAGGGAAUCUUCCGCAAUGGGCGAAAGCCUGACGGAGCAACGCCGCGUGAGUGAAGAAGGUCUUCGGAUCGUAAAACUCUGUUAUUAGGGAAGAACAAAUGUGUAAGUAACUAUGCACGUCUUGACGGUACCUAAUCAGAAAGCCACGGCUGACUACGU
rnacentral:rRNA from 1 species